CAAGAUUCAUACGUCCUCGAGAGGUACACACAUAAAUAGUAAAGUUUCAGAGUAUGAAGCGAUCUUCCUGGAGAGGUGCUCACGUCUAAGUUAUCAAAAAGUAUCGCUUCUUGCAACUCCAGGAGGUACACGCAGAAAGUUUCAGACUAUUAUCUGGAAGGACAACACUCUCACGGCGGGUAUCCUGCCGACUACGCCAUAAAAAAUGUCUCGCUCCAAUUUAUAGGAGGGAGAGGAGGUUCUUUGAAAUAUGUAUGCCCGGCGUGAGAUUAAGAAACAACGGUUCAAAUGUUGGUCCGACCAGUUUAUUACAAAUGUUAAUAAGGGAGGUGGGGAAAGGGGAGGACGGACACUAUUAA
rnacentral:lncRNA from 1 species